AUUGAACGCUGGCGGCAGGCCUAACACAUGCAAGUCGGACGAGUGGCGGACGGGUGAGUAACGCCUGGGAAACUACCUAGUGGUGGGGGAUAACUACUGGAAACGGUAGCUAAUACCGCAUACUAUCAGAUGUGCCCAGGUGUGAUUAGCUGGUUGGCGGGGUAACGGCUCACCAAGGCGACGAUCACUAGCGGGUCUGAGAGGAUGACCAGCCACACUGGAACUGAGACACGGUCCAGACUCCUACGGGAGGCAGCAGUGGGGAAUAUUGCACAAUGGGCGCAAGCCUGAUGCAGCCAUGCCGCGUGUAUGAAGAAGGCCUUCGGGUUGUAAAGGACUUUCGUCGGGGAGGCGGUACCCGAAGAAGAAGCACCGGCUAACUCCGUGCCAGCCGCCGCGGUAAUUC
rnacentral:rRNA from 1 species